UAUGAAUAAAAGGUUGAAUUGAGUUUAGAUCUUUAUAAAUGUGUUGCUUAUAUUACACGUUCCAUUCAUCCAUGUAUCAAAAUUAAUCACUUCCAUCAAAUUCCAUUACUAUAACUUCAAUCCGCAUGAACCUGAUAAAUUACCCAGAAAAAGGGCCCUAUCAUUUCUGCUAGAACAUUUGAAGCUUCACACCAAUGAAUGAAUGCAUCAUUUAUGUAAACUGGUAAAAUCUAUACACCAUGGAGGAAGAGGGAGGGGGGGAAGGGGUAAAGAGCAGCAAUUUGAAAGCCCUGCACCCACGAAGAUAAUGAAGAAUACCGGCUCUAUCCUCGAGCCACUGGUUCAGUCUUACAGACUGGGCAAAUAUUUUUCUGUGCAAGCCAUUGCUUUAUACAUUGUAUAUGAAAGCCAUGUCCACAAUCCAGCUUCCCCAGCUCAUCAUCUGCUUCAUAAUCCUCCUGACAAAUGCUGCACUUUUUGUCCAGAAUCAUGGGCAAAUGUGAUGAAAGGUCGUUCAUAAUUGAGAGCUUCAUUUUCCUGACACAGCGGCUGAUCUCGUCUUCUUUCAGUCCAGUACUCACAUAACCAAUUCUCUCACCUAACUCCAGCAGUUGCUCAUAUGACAUGUGAUCAAUGUCAAGCCUCCAGUCGCUAAACCGAUCCUGUCUUCCUCCCAUCAUGAAACUAUUUUGGAGCAUCAUUAUCUGCAAUUUGGCAAAACUCAGAGGGCAUUUAAAUUGUCUUAAAUACCAAGUGACUUCAACAGUAACUCAAUCAAGCAUAUUGUCGCUACAUUUAAAUGGAAACACAUUCUCCCACAAUAUUCAAUAAAUACAAUUCAUUAAAUCUAAACCCCAAAGUUCAUCAUCGCCAUAUUGUUACGCCUUUACAGAUUCCAAAAAUUUCGCAAUGGCUUCUCAAUGUCUUUCUACAAUUAGUUCCAAACACUACAAUUUUCAUAAACAGGCAAUAACUCCACUAUCUGAACAACAUUACCAAGUUACUCAAAGAAGAAACAAAUAAAAGAAACUUCUGGUAGAAAGAUUCUAAAGAUCAAUUUAAGAAACAUUUGAUUGAAGCUUCUAAAGAGUAAUUUCCAUGCCAGUGGAAAAUGCCCCACAUACUCGUUAUAACUUUCAUUCACAAAAACUUUUUAAAAAUAAUAGAAAAAAAAGUUAGAGACAUUUUAAUUUCUUUGGCAAACUUUGGAAUGCAUGAACUGAAAACAUUCCAUUUGCCAUCUAUCCUAACUCCACAAGUCAUGGAUACAACUCUGUUUGCAGCAUUGAUCAAAGGAUUUUAAGCCCAUCUCUUUUUUUUCUUUUAAAUCUUAAGGAUAUCCUUCUGUCCCUUAAAACAUCAUCUUUUACCCCUACAGAAUUAUAUGUUACAACAUUUGACCAAGCAAGAUAAAUGAAAGAUGCAGUUUACAAGCUUUGAACACAUUAAACCUUAAUAGUUUCUCCUUCUAAGCAAAAAUAAUAUCAAAUAUCAGGGGUAUUGAGUAUUGACUUCCAUUCCACAACUUGGUUGUCAGCUUGCCCUCAAACUAUGUUAUGAUAAUAAGGAGAAUAGGAGCUGUGAGAAUGUAUAUGAAUGUAUAGGAAAAUAUAUUAUAUAAAUAGGAAUAGUAUUGUAACUGUUUCAUUUAGUCAAGAAUUCAACAAUACAACAUAUCCUUCUCUCUCCAUUUCUCUUUUCUUUCUCUACUUCUCUCUCUCCCCCUCUUCCUUUCUUUCUCGAUAUCCCCUCUCUGUUAAGCUUCUUCCUUUGUUCUUCUUCCCUUUCUUUCAUCGUCUUUUGCAGGUGUUACAAAACAAAUUGGUAUCAAACCUCUAUUUGAGGAUGGGCUUUGCUUCCAAUAGAAAUUAUUGAAGCCGCAAACAAUUUCAUAUCAAAGGCUACCAUCCCAAAUAUCAAGUUUCUUCUUCUUCUUCUUUACUUCUUAAAACACUCUCUCACUAAAGUCUCUCUUUCCUUCAUUCUUCUUUAGUUUCCUUCUUCUUCCCUUCCUCUUUCUUAUUCUUCCUUCUUCUUUCUCGUUCUUCUUUCUUGA
rnacentral:misc_RNA from 1 species